UUUAUCGGAGAGUUUGAUCCUGGCUCAGGACGAACGCUGGCGGCGUGCCUAAUACAUGCAAGUCGAGCGGACAGAUGGGAGCUUGCUCCCUGAUGUUAGCGGCGGACGGGUGAGUAACACGUGGGUAACCUGCCUGUAAGACUGGGAUAACUCCGGGAAACCGGGGCUAAUACCGGAUACUUGUUUGAACCGCAUGGUUCAAACAUAAAAGGUGGCUUCGGCUACCACUUACAGAUGGACCCGCGGCGCAUUAGCUAGUUGGUGAGGUGAUGGCUCACCAAGGCAACGAUGCGUAGCCGACCUGAGAGGGUGAUCGGCCACACUGGGACUGAGACACGGCCCAGACUCCUACGGGAGGCAGCAGUAGGGAAUCUU
rnacentral:rRNA from 1 species